ACUUAUAUAGUUUAAAACAAAACCUUACAUUUUCACUGUAAAAAUAAAAAUCUAUUUUUUAUAGGUA
rnacentral:tRNA from 1 species